rnacentral:rRNA from 1 species
UACGUAGGGUCCGAGCGUUGUCCGGAAUUAUUGGGCGUAAAGGGCUCGUAGGCGGUUUGUCGCGUCGGGAGUGAAAACACCGGGCUUAACUCGGUGCUUGCUUUCGAUACGGGCAGACUAGAGGCAUUCAGGGGAGAACGGAAGUUCCUGGUGUAGCGGUGAAAUGCGCAGAUAUCAGGAGGAACACCGGUGGCGAAGGCGGUUCUCUGGGAAUGUCCUGACGCUGAGGAGCGAAAGUGUGGGGAGCGAACAGG